CCCUUAGAUGUUCUGGGCCGCACGCGCGCUACACUGAUGCAUUCAACGAGCCUAUCCUUGACCGACAGGUCCGGGUAAUCUUUGAAUCUGCAUCGUGACGGGGAUAGAUUAUUGCAAUUAUUAAUCUUCAACGAGGAAUGCCUAGUAGGCGCAAGUCAUCAGCUUGCGUCGAUUACGUCCCUGCCCUUUGUACACACCGCCCGUCGCUCCUACCGAUUGGGUGUGCUGGUGAAAUGUUCGGAUCGGCCGUUUGUCGCGGUUUCCGCGGCUCGUGGCCGAGAAGUUCAUUAAACCCUCCCACCUAGAGGAAGGAGAAGUCGUAACA
rnacentral:rRNA from 1 species